ensembl:snRNA U6 U6 spliceosomal RNA
GUGCUCAUUUUGGCAGCACAUAUACUAAAACUGGAACGAUACAGAGGAGAUUAGCAUGGCCCCUGCGCAAGGAUGAAACACCAACUCUACCCAACAUAAUUUA